UACGUAGGGUGCGAGCGUUGUCCGGAAUUAUUGGGCGUAAAGGGCUCGUAGGCGGUCUGUCGCGUCAGGAGUGAAAACCCGGGGCUCAACUCCGGGCCUGCAGCCGAUACGGGCAGACUAGAGUUCGGCAGGGGAGACUGGAAUUCCUGGUGUAGCGGUGAAAUGCGCAGAUAUCAGGAGGAACACCGGUGGCGAAGGCGGGUCUCUGGGCCGAUACUGACGCUGAGGAGCGAAAGCGUGGGGAGCGAACAGG
rnacentral:rRNA from 1 species